GACAGAGGGUGCAAACGUUGUUCGGAAUUACUGGGCGUAAAGCGCGUGUAGGCGGCUAAGUAAGUCGGGCGUGAAAUCCCACGGCUCAACCGUGGAAGUGCACUCGAAACUGCAUAGCUAGAGUCCUGGAGAGGAAGGUGGAAUGCUUGGUGUAGAGGUGAAAUUCGUAGAUAUCAAGCGGAACACCGGUGGCGAAGGCGGCCUUCUGGACAGUGACUGACGCUGAGACGCGAAAAGCGUGGGGGAGCAAACAAGGG
rnacentral:rRNA from 1 species